AUGAUGGGACUGUUCCUGCUGGUGUUAUUCGCUCGUCACCAGAGCAAAGGAAGAGCCAGUGGGAGGCAGGUCCAGUUCCAGGUCCACAUGGUACAGGGUACCUUUGCCCCCUUUCUGUCUCCGCCCUUCUCCCCGAGCCGCACGUGGGUUUGGAAACGCAGUCCUGGUGGAGGACACAGGAUGAACAUGCGACCUGUGAGGAUUCAGGAGGCUGCUCGUCUCAUUCAAGGCACCAUUGAUUUGACAGCCCUUUCCCAAGUACCUUAACAUCCCCGAUUCUCCUCUUCUGCAGACGGUGAGAGCUCCUCCCCACUGAGCCUGACUCCCCAGGGAGCCCUGGUUGUGANCCUGGUGGAGGACACAGGAUGAACAUGCGACCUGUGAGGAUUCAGGAGGCUGCUCGUCUCAUUCAAGGCACCAUUGAUUUGACAGCCCUUUCCCAA
rnacentral:lncRNA from 1 species